UACGUAGGUGGCAAGCGUUUAUCCGGAAUUAUUGGGCGUAAAGCGCUCGCAGGCGGUUUCUUAAGUCUGAUGUGAAAGCCCACGGCUCAACCGUGGAGGGUCAUUGGAAACUGGGAGACUUGAGUGCAGAAGAGGAGAGUGGAAUUCCACGUGUAGCGGUGAAAUGCGUAGAGAUGUGGAGGAACACCAGUGGCGAAGGCGACUCUCUGGUCUGUAACUGACGCUGAGGAGCGAAAGCGUGGGGAUCAAACAGG
rnacentral:rRNA from 1 species